GGCAGGUCGCGGGUUAUCCUGACGUAACACGUCUGCGUAUGUGUGUGCCUGGACCCCUACGUUGCGAGACAACAGUGGAGGAGGCACUCGCUGGUUAGGUACGGGGAACUGAGCCCGCGCCGGAAGUGGCACGGGAGGUGCACUGUCCUUCCCCCUCUGCAUCCCUCUCACGCGACCCCAGCCGGGGUCAUAGGUAUCCUGAACUGAAAGAAAUGAAGAAAAGAAACUUAAAGGGGCAAAAGCAAUGAAAUGGUUCUAAAAGAAAAAACAACUUAGUUGAGUUGCUGCAGAAAGUAAGAAGAGUGUGCUGGACGGCGACGUUUCGACCUAAGUCAGAGCAGGAGUGACGGACUCUACUGCUGCUGCCUCCUUUUAUCUCCUCCCCCGGCACCCCACGCAGCUAAGCCCUCCCCCCUGCUACGUCUCCCCCGUGAAGGCUUCCUGCAUGUCUGGGCAUGUACUAACUGAACUCUAUUGUUUUCUGCUGUUUUGUUGCUCAAAUCCUGUCAAAAAAUAUAAAUAAAAAUAAAAAAUAAAGUGUCUGACUGAACUUAAGAAGUGAAUAAAAGAAAAUGAAGCCGAAGUCAGUGUGAAAAAAAAUUGCUACAACAAUGUGUUUAAAGCUGCUUCCCCCAGAGAUCCUAUGAUUAAAAUCGACAGAUAUGAUGUGUUUCUUUCUUUUUCAGGUGUUCCAGGUGAGUGUUUUUUCUCUUUCAGGUGUUCCAGGUAAGUAUUUUCUUCUUUUUCAGGUGUUCCAGGUAGGUAUUUUCUUUUUCAGGUGUUCCAGGUAAGUAUUUUCUUCUUUUUCAGGUGUUCCAGGUAGGUAUUUUCUUUAUUACAGGUGUUCCAGGUAAGUAUGUUCUUUUUACAGGUGUUCCAGGUGAGUAUAAUUACUGUAGGUAGGUGUUUUAUGUGUUUUAAUAAGUGUACUUAGUCAUCUCAGGUCCAGGUAAGUACUUUAGGUGUGUGUUCUUCUUUGCAGGUGAGUUUUGUAAUGUAUUUUUGCUUUUCAGGUUAUGAUUUUAUGUGUAACUGUCCUUUAAAUGUGAAUAACUUAUGUGUGGUGAUGUUACAGGUAAGUGUUUUUUGGUGUAAGUGUCCUUUAAAUGUGCAUAUCCAAUGUGUGUCUAUGUGUCAGGUAAGUAUGUGUGGUGUAAGUGCCCUUUAAAUUUGGAAUCUAUGUGUGUGUUGUUGUUAAUGAGCCAAUUGUGCCUGAAAUGACUAAAUAAACUGGGCGUGUCCAAUUAUCUGUCUCCUUCUAUGAAUUCUUUAUUUAUAUACUGAACUAUCAAUUUAUUUAUUUAUUUAUUAAUCUACUUAGUAAUUAAUUAAUUUAUUAAUGUAUUUAUUCCUAUAUUAGCAGCCUUAAAGCUGUAUGAAUUCAUCUAUAAUAGAUUAACCGAUGACCUCUGAGGGAUAUCUAAUAUAAUAUAUAGAGGUAAGUAUGUAGGUAGGUUUUAACUCUUUAAAGGGAAGUAUUUUAAUGUGUUUUUCUCUUUCAGGUAAGUAUUUUUAGGUUGUAUUGGUCCUUUAAGGGAAGUAGAAUUUUGUUUGUUGUUUUUAUUGCUCCAAUUGUGUAUGAAUUAACCAGAUUGUCAAGGUAAGUAUUUAAUUAGGUAUCAAUUGUUUGCAGGUGAGUAUUUUAGUGUGUUUUCUUUCAUUUAGGUAAAUAUUUUUCGGUGUAUUGGUCCUUUAAAGUUGAAAGUUAAUUUAUGCGUGAUUUUGAAUAGUCCAAUUGUGUAUGAAUUAAGUCAAUUAACGAGGCUUUUAUCACUCUCCAUGUAUUUAUCUGUUAUUUAUUUAUUUAUUUAUCUGAUCCUAGCAGCCCUACGGCUGUAUGACUUAAUGUAUUUAAUCAACUAAGAGCUUAUAUAAUUAACUAAUUAACGGUCUCCUGGGGUAUUUAUAAUAAUAUAAUCUUUCUAGGGGGGUAAAAGUGGUUGGGGUUAGGCCAAAGCUAGAAUGAGGUUGGGGUCAGGGGUCACCUCAAGGUGAGGUUAGAAAAGAAAAGAAAGGUCAAAGGUUGGGGUUAGGCAUCAAGGCCAGAGACUUUGGGUUUAGGCCCCCUGUCGGAGGCUUUGGGUUUAGGCCUCUAAUGGCCCCCCUACUCCCCGUGGAUCCUCCAGGUAAGUCAUGACCUCAAUCUGAAGGCUCGGUUUUGCCUUCUGCCUCUCUCCAGUUGUGCUCCAGUAGACGGAAGCCUCCAAUCUACUCUUUUGCGUCCAGUGUUGAUGUGUCUGGUCGCCCGGCGGAGCUGUGGGCUGGGUGUAAAAGUCU